UGCCAGCAGCCGCGGUAAUACAGAGACCUCAAGCGUUGUCCGGAUUUAUUGGGCGUAAAGGGUCCGUAGGCGGUUUUAUAAGUCGUUUGUUAAAUUUUCAGGCUCAACCUGGAAGCUGCGAACGAUACUGUGAAACUUGAGGCCGGGAGAGGUACACGGAAUUGUUGGUGUAGCGGUAAAAUGCGUUAAUAUCAACAAGAACACCAAAUGCGAAGGCAGUGUACUGGAACGAGCCUGACGCUCAGGGACGAAAGCGUGGGUAGCGAAUGGGAUUAGAUA
rnacentral:rRNA from 1 species